rnacentral:rRNA from 1 species
AGGGUUUGAUCCUGGCUCAGAACGAACGUUGGCGGCAUGGAUUAGGCAUGCAAGUCGAACGAAUGCCAGUAGCAAUACUGGCGGAAGUGGCGAAAGGGGCAGUAAUGCAUGGGUACCUACCCGGUGGUUGAGGAUAGCCGUCCUAACGGACGGGUAAUACUCGAUGACAUCGCAAGAUCAAAGCUCCGGCGCCGUCGGAGGGGCCCAUGUCGGAUUAGCUAGUUGGGGGGGUAACGGCCCACCAAGGCAAAGAUCUGUAGCGGGUGUGAGAGCACGACCCGCGCCACUGGCACUGAGACACUGGCCAGACACCUACGGGUGGCUGCAGUCGAGGAUCUUCGUCAAUGGGCGAAAGCCUGAACGAGCGAUGCCGCGUGUGCGAUGAAGGCCUUCGGGUUGUAAAGCACAAAAGAGAUGAGAAAGGGCAACUUGAUCGAAUCUCAGUAAGCUCGGGCUAAGUUCGUGCCAGCAGCCGCGGUAAGACGAACCGAGCGAACGUUGUUCGGAAUCACUGGGCUUAAAGGGCGCGUAGGCGGGCGGCUAAGUCUGUGGUGAAAUCCUCCAGCUCAACUGGAGAACUGCCAUGGAUACUGGUCGUCUCGAGGAAGGUAGGGGUAUGCGGAACUAUCGGUGGAGCGGUGAAAUGCGUUGAUAUCGAUAGGAACUCCGGUGGCGAAGGCGGCAUACUGGACCUUUUCUGACGCUGAGGCGCGAAAGCCAGGGGAGCAAACGGGAUUAGAUACCCCGGUAGUCCUGGCCCUAAACGAUGGGUACUAGCUAGUAGGGUUCACAUGGCUUUACUGGCGAAGCAAAAGUGCUAAGUACCCCGCCUGGGGAGUAUGGUCGCAAGGCUGAAACUCAAAGGAAUUGACGGGGGCUCACACAAGCGGUGGAGCAUGUGGCUUAAUUCGAGGCUACGCGAAGAACCUUAUCCUAGACUUGACAUGUGCGAUAGCGUUGAGCGGUACGUCUCCGAAAGGAAGGCCGAUUCCCAGCAAUGGGAGGACUCAACACAGGUGCUGCAUGGCUGUCGUCAGCUCGUGUCGUGAGAUGUCGGGUUAAGUCCCAUAACGAGCGAAACCCUUACCU